AGAGUUUGAUCCUGGCUCAGAUUGAACGCUGGCGGCAGGCUUAACACAUGCAAGUCGAGCGGUAACAGAUCUAGCUUGCUAGAUGCUGACGAGCGGCGGACGGGUGAGUAACGCGUAGAAAACUGCCCAGUAGUGGGGGAUAGCCCAGAGAAAUUUGGAUUAAUACCGCAUACGCCCUACGGGGGAAAGGGGGCUUCGGCUCUCGCUAUUGGAUGUGUCUGCGUGGGAUUAGCUAGUUGGUGAGGUAAGGGCUCACCAAGGCGACGAUCCCUAGCUGGUCUGAGAGGAUGAUCAGCCACACUGGGACUGAGACACGGCCCAGACUCCUACGGGAGGCAGCAGUGGGGAAUAUUGCACAAUGGGCGCAAGCCUGAUGCAGCCAUGCCGCGUGUGUGAAGAAGGCUUUCGGGUUGUAAAGCACUUUCAGUGAGGAGGAAAAGUUAACGGUUAAUACCCGUUAGCCCUGACGUUACUCACAGAAGAAGCACCGCUAACU
rnacentral:rRNA from 1 species